rnacentral:rRNA from 1 species
CCAGACUCCUACGGGAGGCAGCAGUGAGGAAUAUUGGUCAAUGGGCGCGAGCCUGAACCAGCCAAGUAGCGUGCAGGAUGACGGCCCUCCGGGUUGUAAACUGCUUUUAGUUGGGAAUAAAAGGGGGCUCGUGAGCCCCGUAUUGUAUGUACCAUCAGAAAAAGGACCGGCUAAUUCCGUGCCAGCAGCCGCGGUAAUACGUAGGGGGCAAGCGUUAUCCGGAUUUACUGGGUGUAAAGGGAGCGUAGACGGCAAGACAAGCCUGGAGUGAAAGGCGGGGGCCCAACCCCCGGACUGCUCUGGGAACUGUCUGGCUGGAGUGCAGGAGGGGUAAGUGGAAUUCCUAGUGUAGCGGUGAAAUGCGUAGAUAUUAGGAGGAACACCAGUGGCGAAGGCGGCUUACUGGACUGUAACUGACGUUGAGGCUCGAAAGCGUGGGGAGCAAACAGGAUUAGAUACCCGAGUA